AUUAAACGCUGGCGGCAUGCCUUACACAUGCAAGUCGAACGGCAGCACGGGGGCAACCCUGGUGGCGAGUGGCGAACGGGUGAGUAAAGCAUCGGAACGUGCCCUGGAGUGGGGGGAUAACGUAGCGAAAGUUACGCUAAUACCGCAUAUUCUGUGAGCAGGAAAGCAGGGGAUCGCAAGACCUUGCGCUCUGGGAGCGGCCGAUGUCGGAUUAGCUAGUUGGUGGGGUAAAGGCCUACCAAGGCGACGAUCCGUAGCGGGUCUGAGAGGAUGAUCCGCCACACUGGGACUGAGACACGGCCCAGACUCCUACGGGAGGCAGCAGUGGGGAAUUUUGGACAAUGGGCGAAAGCCUGAUCCAGCUAUGCCGCGUGAGUGAAGAAGGCCU
rnacentral:rRNA from 1 species